rnacentral:rRNA from 1 species
UUGUGUCGAGAGAUGACAUCCUGGGGGCACUCCAACCCCUGUGACAUACCUAUUUGUUGCCUCGGCGGUGCCUGUUCCGACAGCCCGCCAGAGGACCCCAAACCCUGAUUACAUUUAAGAAGUCUUCUGAGUAAACCGAUUAAAUAAAUCAAAACUUUCAACAACGGAUCUCUUGGUUCUGGCAUCGAUGAAGAACGCAGCGAAAUGCGAUAAGUAAUGUGAAUUGCAGAAUUCAGUGAAUCAUCGAAUCUUUGAACGCACAUUGCGCCCGCUAGUAUUCUGGCGGGCAUGCCUGUCCGAGCGUCAUUUCAACCCUCAAGCCCCCGGGCUUGGUGUUGGGGAUCGGCGAGCCUCCGCGCCCGCCGUCCCCUAAAUCUAGUGGCGGUCUCGCUGUAGCUUCCUCUGCGUAGUAGCACACCUCGCACUGGGAAACAGCGCGGCCACGCCGUUAAACCCCCAACUUCUGAACGUUUGACCUCGGAUCAGGUAGGAAUACCCGCUGAACUUAAGCAUAUCAAAAGCCCGGAGGAA